UCCCCCGAAGAAGAUGGUUGGAGUCGGCAAAAGAAUAUCUGAAGUCGCUGAGGGUACAAUAACGGAAAAACCUAGCACAAGACAGAAAUAACUGAAAGAAAACCUGUGAGCCUUGGGCCCGUGAGGCCUGUUGAGCUGAGCUAUAAUUCGUUCGUCCAAUCUUCUUGUACUCAAAUGUGUUUUCAAAUUACUUGCUUGACUAAACUCUUUGAAAUAAAUUUCACACUUGUAAGAUUUUUAUCCAGUGUGCAAUAUCAAAUGUUUUUUCAAAUCAAAAUGUACAGUACAAAUGUAGUAAAAUUCUUUGAAACAUAUUUCACACUUUUAAGGGUUUUCCCUCGUGUGCACUCUCAAAUGUGCUUUCAAAUUGUAGUAAAAUGCGCAAAACAAAUUUCACACUUAUAAGGUUUUCCCCAGUGUGCACUCUCAAAUGUGUUUUCAAAGAACCUGCUUGACUAAACUGUUUAAAACAAAUUCUACACUUGUAAGGUGUUUCUCCAGUGUGAACUCUCAUAUGCGCAUCCAAAGAAAUUUUAUGUCUGAACUGUUUAAAGCAAAUUUCACACUUAUAAGGUUUUUCCCCAGUGUGCACUCUCAAAUGUAUUUUCAAAACUUUUGUUGUAGUAAAAUUAUUAAAACAAAUUUCACACUUGUGAGGUUUUUCUUCAGUGUGGAUCAUCAAAUGUGUUUUCAAUUGACUUUUUUGAUAAAACAGCUUAAAACAAAUUUCAUACUUGUGAGGUUUUUUCCCAGUGUGUGUCAUCAAAUGUGUUUUCAAAUUACUUGCUCGACUAAAUUGCUUAAAACAAAUUCACACUUGUGAGGUUUUCCUCCAGUGUGCACUCUCAAAUGUUUUUUCGAAUCACUUAUUGUAGUAAAAUUCUUUAAAACAUAUUUCACACUUCUAAAGGUUUUCAGUCGUGUGCACUCUCAAAUGUGUUUUCAAAUUACUUGCUCGACUAAAUUGCUUAAAACAAAUUCACACUUGUGAGGUUUUCCUCCAGUGUGCACUCUCAAAUGUUUUUUCGAAUCACUUAUUGUAGUAAAAUUCUUUAAAACAUAUUUCACACUUCUAAAGGUUUUCAGUCGUGUGCACUCUCAAAUGUGUUUUCAAAUUACUUGUAGUAAAAUGCGCAGAACCAAUUUCACACUUAUAAGGUUUUUCCCCAAUGUGCACUCUCAAAUGUGUUUUCAAAGAACCUGUUUGACUAAACUGUUUAAAACAAAUUUCACACUUGUAAGAUUUUUAUCCAGUGUGCAAUAUCAAAUGUUUUUUUAAAUCAAAAUGUACAGUACAAAUGUAGUAAAAUUCUUAGAAACAUAUUUCACACUUCUAAAGGUUUUCAGUCGUGUGCACUCUCAAAUGUGUUUUCAAAUUACUUGUAGUAAAAUGCGCAGAACAAAUUUCAGACUUAUAAGGUUUUCCCCAGUGUGGACUCUCAAAUGUGUUUUCAAAGAACCUGCUUCACUAAACUGUUUAAAACAAAUUUCACACUUGUAAGAUUUUUAUCCAGUGUGCAAUAUCAAAUGUUUUUUUAAAUCAAAAUGUACAGUACAAAUGUAGUAAAAUUCUUAGAAACAUAUUUCACACUUCUAAAGGUUUUCAGUCGUGUGCACUCUCAAAUGUGUUUUCAAAUUACUUGUAGUAAAAUGCGCAGAACAAAUUUCAGACUUAUAAGGUUUUCCCCAGUGUGGACUCUCAAAUGUGUUUUCAAAGAACCUGCUUCACUAAACUGUUUAAAACAAAUUUCACACUUGUAAGAUUUUUAUCCAGUGUGCAAUAUCAAAUGUUUUUUUAAAUCAAAAUGUACAGUACAAAUGUAGUAAAAUUCUUAGAAACAUAUUUCACACUUCUAAAGGUUUUCAGUCGUGUGCACUCUCAAAUGUGUUUUCAAAUUACUUGUAGUAAAAUGCGCAGAACAAAUUUCAGACUUAUAAGGUUUUCCCCAGUGUGGACUCUCAAAUGUGUUUUCAAAGAACCUGCUUCACUAAACUGUUUAAAACAAAUUUCACACUUGUAAGAUUUUUAUCCAGUGUGCAAUAUCAAAUGUUUUUUUAAAU
rnacentral:lncRNA from 1 species